UGACGAGUGGCGAACGGGUGAGUAAUGUAUCGGAACAUAUCCGGAAGUGGGGGAUAACUAGUCGAAAGAUUAGCUAAUACCGCAUAUGCCCUUAGGGGGAAAGGGGGGGAUCUUAGGACCUCUCGCUUUCGGAGUGGCCGAUAUCGGAUUAGCUAGUAGGUGAGGUAAAGGCUCACCUAGGCGACGAUCCGUAGCUGGUCUGAGAGGACGACCAGCCACACUGGAACUGAGACACGGUCCAGACUCC
rnacentral:rRNA from 1 species